GUGUUUCCCUCAGCCUAUCCUCUGUGUUCUCCUGUCUUGUGCUCCAGCCCCUUCCCCAGGUGUGUCUUGUUUGAUGAUUAGUUCUUGUCUAUUUAAGUCCUGUUUGAGUUCUGUUCUUCGUCGGUUCAUUGUGCUGUAUUGUCCUGUUCUGUUCUGUGCUGUGUUGCAUUCUGUUUCCUGCUUCCCGCCUGAGUUUUUCGUGUUCCCUGCAUCACCUGCAAGUCUAUUAAAUAUUUUGUUGCCACUGAGCUUUUUUCCUGCCUGCGGCUCCUGCUUUUGGGUCCUCCACCUUCCUCCAGCCCCGUGACAAAGAGAGUGUAUUUCGUAGGAAUAGGUAAAGAUAACAAAGGACCUCCAGAGCCAUUAUUGUAAGCAUCAAUGUGUGAUCAGACUGUGCAGACCUGCUAGGAGGAGAAAUCUUACCUUUCACAGAACUAAACGCUGGUUCAGAUGUUUUGUCUCCAGCAGCAGAAGCAGCUCCUAUCCCACCUGACAGCCGAGGACAUGACCGACUGGUGACAGAGCAGGCAUCUCGGUGACGGUCUCCACCUGUUCGUAGCGUGGCUUACCACUGGUCCAGGGGCGGACAGACUGCUCUGCUGGAGGCCCGCUGUCGCGUGGUUGUCUGUUGACUUGCAUCUUGAUGGGUUUACUCCCGCCCUCCACAGUGAGGUUGCACUGUGGCACAGCUUGAGGCUACUGAUCCAGGAUCGGCUGCUGCUUUGGCUCGGCUCUGUUUGUGUGUGUUUAUGCUCCCUCUCACGGGGUUAAGUCGCCGGCCAGCCGCUGGAGCUGCGAGCCGCUAACCCGCGGCGAUAAGGACCGGUUCUGUCCCCGCAGGCAGUGCAUGGCCGGACCUCACACCCCGGAAGCCGGCCCUAUAAUAAUACAGAAGCGCCUGCAUAGUGUGGAUCUGCUUUUAAGUUGUUUAAUCGUUUAGAGAGUUGCCUUGAGUUAUUUUUUGUUUUGUUUGAGUGAAUUGUUAUUGGUUUGUUGUCUUUCAAGUUAAACAUUUUUUUUUAUAUUGAUUAUUGUGGAGUUUCUUGUUUAUUUUCCCUUUUCUGUUUAUUUGUUGUUAUUUCUUUUUUGUUAAUAAACAUUUCUUUAUUGAAAUGUCUCUGCCUG